rnacentral:rRNA from 1 species
CAGCCGCCGCGGGAAUACGAAGGGGGCUAGCGUUGUUCGGAAUUACUGGGCGUAAAGCGCACGUAGGCGGAUUUUUAAGUCAGGGGUGAAAUCCCGAGGCUCAACCUCGGAACUGCCUUUGAUACUGGAGAUCUUGAGUUCGGAAGAGGUUGGUGGAACAGCUAGUGUAGAGGUGAAAUUCGUAGAUAUUAGCUAGAACACCAGUGGCGAAGGCGGCCAACUGGUCCGAUACUGACGCUGAGGUGCGAAAGCGUGGGGAGCAAACAGGAUUAGAUACCCGUGUAGUCCCUGUCUCUUAUAC